ensembl:lncRNA
CCUGGUGUUAAAGAGGCCAAGCGAAGUGUCCAGAGCUCAGGGCCAGCAUCAAUGGCAUCCUCAUGAAUUCAGUUUUGUGGUGUGAUUUUGGGCAUUGUGCCUGGAAGCUGAAACUCAAACCUGGUUCUUCAUCCCCUGCUCUGCAAAGGUGUCUAGGAUAAGGAGCUCUCAGAACUGGAAGAUAUAGUCCUCUUUCUUCCUGUCCUACAAAAUCACCACUAAGGUUUAGGAUUUUGGAAUGGCUGAUGGUGACUUCACAGCUUCUUCAGCUUCACAGAUGUGAUGAUGCCAGAGAUUAUCUUGUACAGAGAUUGUACCUCCCAGCUUCCCUACUUGGAGAGAAACAAGCGUGGAAAUGGAGCAGCAGAAGUGCCUCUUCGAGGAUCUAGAAGAGAUCUAAGCAGCUGCUUCUGGAGAAAUCUCUUAGAGAUAGAAGCCGCAGAGUUGAGACUGUGUACCCAGCUGGAGACCAGCUUCAUGCUAGAUGAACUUCUUCACCGCAGAGCGUCUCACCUGGAAUGUUGCUGUUCAUUGGGAGCAGACCUGGAUCUAUUUACCGACUACCUGGAGAUUUGCUUGAGAAGGUUCUGAGUCUCAGUUUUAAGAUGGAGGGAAAAAGAAAAGGAGUGAUCUUUAAGGAAGACUGAGCAACAAGCUCUGGAAUAUUAUUGCCGUACUGUGCUUUGUCGCUCAGUUAUGUCUGACUGUUUGCAACGCCAUGGACUAUAGCCCACCAGGCUCCUCUGUCCAUGGGAUUCUCCAAGCAAGAAUACUGGAGUGGGUUGCCAUUUCCUUUCUCCAGAGGAUCUUUCCAGCCCAGGGGCCGAACCCUGGUCUCCCUCAUUGCAGGCGGAUUCUUUACCGUCUGAGCCAUCAGGGAAGCCCAAGAGUACUGGAGUGGGUAGCCUAUCCCUUCUCCAGGCGAACUUCCCCACACAGGAAUUGAACCAGGAUCUCCUGCAUUGCAGGUGGAUUCUUUUCCCAGCUGAGCUACCAAGGGGGAAGCCCAGUAUAUUAUUGAGGCCAAUAAAUGCCUUCUCGGUCCCUUGGGCAAGUGAAAUAGCGCCCUCCACUGGCCGGUUCCCCACAACACAAGAUGUCUCCAGGG